UACAGAGGGUGCGAGCGUUAAUCGGAAUUACUGGGCGUAAAGCGUGCGUAGACGGUUGUUUAAGUCGGAUGUGAAAGCCCUGGGCUCAACCUGGGAACGGCAUUGGAAACUGGCUUACUAGAGUGCGGUAGAGGGGUGUGGAAUUCCCGGUGUAGCAGUGAAAUGCGUAGAUAUCGGGAGGAACAUCUGUGGCGAAGGCGACACCCUGGACCAGCACUGACACUGAGGCACGAAAGCGUGGGGAGCAAACAGG
rnacentral:rRNA from 1 species